CUAGUUCAUUUCCAAACAACUGGAUUGACUCAAAACUCCCCGCAAAACACGAGUUGACCAAAAACGUGACAAGGAAGAAAAGGGAUAAAACAAGAAUGCGAAGAACACAAAUGGAAAUUGCAAAUCCAAAUGGGAUGGAACAAGAUGGCACGAAAUAGAUCUUUGGAUUACUUCACCAUGUCCGGUUACAAGCCACUUCUUAGGACAAUCAAAGCUAGGAUGGCGAAAAGAUCAAACAAAUAUCCCUCAUCUCUCCCUCUCUUCUCCCUCCCUAAGCUCUC
rnacentral:lncRNA from 1 species